GCCGGUGUAGCUCAGUGGUAGAGCGUUUCCUUGGUAAGGAAGAGGUCACGAGUUCAAUUCUCGUCAUUGGCU
rnacentral:tRNA from 1 species